rnacentral:rRNA from 1 species
AUGAAGCUCCUCGUGGACACCAAGGCGCGCCGCGUGCUCUUCGCGGAGGCCGGCAAGGACGUGGUGGACUUCCUCUUCUCCCUCCUCGCGCUGCCCAUCGGCACGGCCGUCAAGCUGAUCGGCGCCAAGUCCAUGGUGGGGAGCGCCGGCGACCUCUACCGCAGCGUGGAGAAGCUUGACGGAACCUACGUCCAGCCCGGCGCGGCCAAGGACGCGAUCCUCCGCCCCGUCAUGGCUCGCUCGCCGGCCAACAGCGCCCUCCUCGGCCUGCCGACUCCCUCCAACAGAUUCUUCAGGUGUUCCUCCUUCAGCGGUUGCCGCGACUACGUGACGGACGUGAGCGGCACCAAGUGCCCCAGAUGUUCCUGUGCGAUGACGAUCCAAAUCCAGUACGCGCCGCCUGCCGGUGCCAUUGCGCAGAACGCGGCCACCGCGGUGGCGGCAGCAGAUGGGUUCGUGCGGGGCGUCGUGACGUACACGGUGAUGGACAGCCUCGCGGUGUCGCCCAUGUCCGCCAUCUCCAGCAUCGCGCUGCUCAACACCUUCGCGGUCAGGGAUCUCACCGCGCUCCAGGAGAAGAUCGUGCACAUCGGAAUCUCUCUCUUAUUGUUUAGCUGCACAGCACUACUUAAACAAAUCCUGACGUCUAAAUUCCUGAAAUCUAUACCCUAUACUCACCAAUCCUGA